GCCUGCUUGGUGCGAAGAGGCUUUAGCUCAGUGGAAGAGCAUCUGCUUUCAUGCAGAAGGCCCAGCCACCAUAAAUGAAAGGAAGACAUCUCGCGUUCUUGAAAUCAUAAUAGAAGGAAGACACAGGAGGAUCCCUGAGCUACCGGCUUCUCUGACAGUGACCUAGGACUACACCUUGGAUG